rnacentral:rRNA from 1 species
AUGCUACAGCAAGAAGAGCGUAGAUCCAUGGAAAAAGCACCGAUGGACAAGUUCCUACUCUCCAAAAUCCACAUAGUGCUACUAGGUGCCCUUCUCUUGCUCAUCCAAGGAAAGGGCUUUGUAGAGUCAUCCUCAUCAUCUUCGCAUCCAAACGACACGGCCACCGGCUGUAUCGCCGAUGAGAGGUCUGCGCUCAUUGGCUUCAAAGCAGGCCUCUUGGACCCUGGAAACCUCCUUUCAUCAUGGAAGGGCGAUGACUGCUGCAAAUGGGAGGGCGUUAUUUGCAGCAGCAGAAACAGCCAUGUCGUCGAGCUCGAUCUCUGGGGCUUUGGUUGUGACGACUUCCCCAGAGAUGUGAGAUGGAAGGUGCUAGGAGGAAACAUUAGCUCCUCGGUGCUUGGCCUGCGACAUCUACAGUAUCUCGACCUCAGUUGCAAUGGGUUCUAUGGGGUGCAAGUACCUGAGUUCCUGGAUUCUCUCCACAAGUUGAUGUACAUCGACCUGUCGUACUCAAGCUUCAUUGGAAGGACACCGCCGCAGCUGGGUAAUCUCUCCAACUUACGAUACUUAAAUCUCGCCUAUGCUGCUGGCACGUACUCCAAGGAUAUCACCUGGUUGUCAAAGUUAACUUCCCUUGAGUACCUGGACCUGAGCGGCACAAACCUCAGUACAAUUGUUCACUGGCUUCCGGUUGUGGCCAUGCUUCCAUCUCUGAACGUUCUUUCUCUUAGAAGUUGUGAUCUUAGAACUAGCCCUGCUUCACUUCCACUUUCAAACCUGACAUCCCUAGACACAUCACACCCAACUGGUUUUGGGGUUUAA